UGCUCCAGGGUCAUGAAGCCUGAGUAACCUCUGACUCACCUCAGGCUCGGCAGGCUCCCUGCUGGCCAUGGGGCCAUUUCUGCUGCUGCAGCGCCCCCUGCUGGCCCAGACCACGUCUGCCUUGUGCCUGUCCCCUGGAGUUCGUUCCCCUCCCUCCAGAUCUGGCUCUCCAAGCCCUGCCCCUUCCGUGCCAUCCCUCAGGUUCUGCAGGGCACUGGCCACUUCUGCACAGCCAGGCCUUCCCACCCUACCCCCGAGAUUCACACAGCAGGGUCCACUCCCUCCCAGGCUUGGCUUCCCCAGGCUGAGGGCUGGGCAUUGGCACCCUUCCACAGACCACAUGAGUCAGCUCCCUCCCCACCCAACAAGGCCAGUGCUGGCUCUGUCUGAGGUCCCUUUGUUCAGGUCUCUUCUGAAGAAAGGCACCAGAGGCUCCAGCUCUGGCCAUAAUGCCCCAGAUGAAGCUUGACAGGAGAACUGGACACAACAGGCCAGGUUUCCCUAGGAUCACCAGCUGUCAUGGACUGAUUUGUGUCUCUCCAAAUUCAUAUGUUGAAUACUUAACCUGCCAUGCGAUUGUGAUUGGAGAUAAUUCCUUUAGGGAAGCAAUGAAGGUUAAAUGAGGUCAUAGGUGGGAGCUUAAUCCAAUGGGACUGGGGUCCCUACAAGAAGAGGAAGACACCAGAGCUCUCUGUCUCCACACACAGAGAAAAGAGGCUGUAUGAGGACACAAGAGAAGGUAAUAGCUGUCUACAAACCAAGAAGAGAAGCCUCUCCAGAAAAUGAACCCUGCUGGAACUUGGUCUUGGACUUUCCAGCCUCCAGAACUGGGAGAAAAUAAAGUUCAAAAUAAAGUUCUGUUGUGUAAGCCCCCGAGUCCAUGGUAUUUUGUUAUGGCAGCCCUAGCAGACUAAUAACACCUGCUAAUUAAACUGCUUGUUCUCCACUUGUUGUCUCAGGGUCUGUUCCUAGGGAACCUGGACUCAGACAGAUGCUCUGCUUAAUUAGAC
rnacentral:lncRNA from 1 species